CCUACGGGAGGCAGCAGUGAGGAAUAUUGGUCAAUGGUCGGGAGACUGAACCAGCCAAGCCGCGUGAGGGAGGAAGGUACAGAGUAUCGUAAACCUCUUUUGUCAGGGAACAAAGGCGGGGACGUGUCCCCGGCUGAGUGUACCUGAAGAAAAAGCAUCGGCUAACUCCGUGCCAGCAGCCGCGGUAAUACGGAGGAUGCGAGCGUUAUCCGGAUUUAUUGGGUUUAAAGGGUGCGCAGGCGGUCUGUUAAGUCAGCGGUCAAAGCCCGGGGCUCAACCCCGGCCCGCCGUUGAAACUGGCAGUCUCGAGUGGGAGAGAAGUAGGCGGAAUGCGCGGUGUAGCGGUGAAAUGCAUAGAUAUCGCGCAGAACUCCGAUUGCGAAGGCAGCAUGCCGGCUCCACACUGACGCUGAGGCACGAAAGCGUGGGUAUCGAACAGGAUUAGAUACCCGUGUAGUC
rnacentral:rRNA from 1 species